GACGAACGCUGGCGGCGUGCCUAAUACAUGCAAGUCGAACGCUGAAGGAGGAGCUUGCUUCUCUGGAUGAGUUGCGAACGGGUGAGUAACGCGUAGGUAACCUGCCUGGUAGCGGGGGAUAACUAUUGGAAACGAUAGCUAAUACCGCAUAAUAGUAGAUGUCGCAUGACAUUUGCUUAAAAGGUGCAAUUGCAUCACUACCACAUGGACCUGCGCUGUAUGUGCUAGUUGGUGAGGUAUAGGCUCACGAAGGCAACGAUACAUACCCGACCUGAGUGGGUGAUCAGCCACACUGAGACUGAGACACGGCCCAGACGGCUACAGGAGGCAGCAGUAGGGAAACUGGGGCAAUGGACGGAAGUCUGACCGAGCAACGCCGAGGGAGUGAAGAAGGUUGUCGGAUCGUAAAGCUCGGCUGUAAGAGAAGAACGAGUGUGAGAGUGGAAAGUUCACACUGUGACGGUAACUGACCAGAAAGCGACGGCUAACUACGUG
rnacentral:rRNA from 1 species